CAACUCUGGUAAAUGGUGUGUGGCAGAGUGCCCUCUUGAAAGCUGACGGCUUGGAGAAAGGUAAAGUCUCAAUGAGAGAAGGACAAAUUGAUCUCUGCCGUGUCUACAUUGACUGUGGAUAUAUCGAUGGAUUUGGAGAAAAUAGUUCAUGCUGUUUCCUCUCUUUUAGGUUUCAAGUGCCCCAUUUGUUCCAAGUCUGUGGCUUCCGAUGAGAUGGAAAUGCACUUUAUAAUGUGUCUGAGCAAACCUCGCCUGUCCUACAAUGGUAAGGGUUAUCUGUCUUGUCUGCUUCCUGAUGUCAAGAUGAGUUGGACAGCUGGGGGCAUAGCCUCCAGGUGAGGGGGGUCUCUGUGUUGUUUUCUUUUAGCAGCACUGUAUGUGUGGUGGUGAGAAACCUUCUGUUUUGAGAGCCUUGGUUAUAAGUUGGAGUGGCUGAGGAGACGCCAGAGAAGGCAAGUCCUGGGCCAGAAGCUACUCUGAUGAGAAGGCUCUUGGCUGCUCAAUGCCUUC
rnacentral:lncRNA from 1 species